rnacentral:rRNA from 1 species
GAUGAACGCUGGCGGCGUGCCUAAUACAUGCAAGUCGAGCGAACAGAUAAGGAGCUUGCUCCUUUGAAGUUACCGGCGGACGGUUGAGUAAAACGUGGGUAACCUACCUAUAAGACUGGGAUAACUUCGGGAAACCGGAGCUAAUACCGGAUAACAUUUAGAACCGCAUGGUUCUAAAGUGAAAGAUGGUUUUGCUAUCACUUAUAGAUGGACCCGCGCCGUAUUAGCUAGUUGGUAAGGUAACGGCUUACCAAGGCGACGAUACGUAGCCGACCUGAGAGGGUGAUCGGCCACACUGGAACUGAGACACGGUCCAGACUCCUACGGGAGGCAGCAGUAGGGAAUCUUCCGCAAUGGGCGAAAGCCUGACGGAGCAACGCCGCGUGAGUGAUGAAGGGUUUCGGCUCGUAAAACUCUGUUAUUAGGGAAGAACAAAUGUGUAAGUAACUGUGCACAUCUUGACGGUACCUAAUCAGAAGGCCACGGCUAACUACGUG